GUUUGGCAGCCAAACACAAAGUUGCAAAUGUAACAAGUACAUGCAAAUAUGUUCCGAUGACCACAACUGUCGCUGUAGAAACAUCGGUCUACAUUGCACCAAAGUACCGUCAGUUUUUAACGCCAGUGAAAAGAAAGUCAAAAGAUGUCUUCAAGUAAAUACGGACAUUUUUCCUGGGCGGCGUCCGCCUGUGAAAAGCACAGCCAAGAUGCCUGUUUGGCCUAAAUUAAUUAAAACUCGUUGCAAACUCUGAUAAUUGCACACUCUGUAUGUGGUUGCACAUCACUAAAUCCAGUUGAACACUGCGGUUGCUUCUGUGUAUUUAAUUAAAG